UACGUAGGUGGCGAGCGUUGUCCGGAAUUAUUGGGCGUAAAGAGCGCGUAGGCGGGUAAAUAAGUCUGUUUUAAAAGUGCGGGGCUCAACCCCGUGAUGGAAUGGAAACUGUUUAUCUUGAGUACCGGAGAGGAAAGUGGAAUUCCCAGUGUAGCGGUGAAAUGCGUAGAUAUUGGGAGGAACACCAGUGGCGAAGGCGACUUUCUGGACGGUGUCUGACGCUGAGGCGCGAAAGCCAGGGAAGUGAACGGGAUUAGAUACCCCGGUAAUCCUGGCCGUAAACGAUGGGUACUAGGUGUAGAGGGUAUCGACCCCUUCUGUGCCGGAGUUAACGCAAUAAGUACCCCGCCUGGGGAGUACGGCCGCAAGGUUGAA
rnacentral:rRNA from 1 species